rnacentral:tRNA from 1 species
GGUGGCUCAGUGGUAGAGCACUUGCCUUGUAUCCAUGAGACACUGGGUUCGAUUCCUUAGCACCA